ensembl:rRNA 5S_rRNA 5S ribosomal RNA
AUUACCACCCAUAUCACCCUGAACGCUGUGCCCAAUCUCAUCUGAUCUUGGAGGCUAAGCAGGGGCGGGCCUGGUUAGUACUUGGAUGUGAGACGAGUUUCAAAUUCAGUUACGCUGAAAAAC